AUUGAACGCUGGCGGCAGGCUUAACACAUGCAAGUCGAGCGGUGGAGGUUGCUUCGGUAACUGACCUAGCGGCGGACGGGUGAGUAAUACUUAGGAAUCUGCCUAUUAAUGGGGGACAACAUCUCGAAAGGGAUGCUAAUACCGCAUACGCCCUACGGGGGAAAGCAGGGGAUCACUUGUGACCUUGCGUUAAUAGAUGAGCCUAAGUCGGAUUAGCUAGUUGGUGGGGUAAAGGCCUACCAAGGCGACGAUCUGUAGCGGGUCUGAGAGGAUGAUCCGCAAAACUGGGACUGAGACACGGCCCAGACUCCUACGGGAGGCAGCAGUGGGGAAUAUUGGACAAUGGGGGGAACCCUGAUCCAGCCAUGCCGCGUGUGUGAAGAAGGCCUUAUGGUUGUAAAGCACUUUAAGCGAGGAGGAGGCUCUUUUGGUUAAUACCCAAGAUGAGUGGACGUUACUCGCAGAAUAAGCACCGGCUAACUCUGUGCCAGCCGCCGCGGUUAACAC
rnacentral:rRNA from 1 species